rnacentral:sRNA from 1 species
UAUAUAUAUAUAUAUAUAUCUAUAUAUACAUUUUUGCAGCCACUUUGUGAAAUAAAUACUGGAGUUGGGAUUUAUUUACAGCGGCUGCCACUGGCAUUUAAUAAUUGUUUUUGAUAAUUAGAAAGAAAAUCUUCUAAUUAAAUAUUUGACAUAAAGCUCAAGUGUACAGUUUUUUUAGGAGUUAUGUAACGUUUCUCCCAAGAAAAUUGUUUCUUUAUUUUUCU